rnacentral:lncRNA from 1 species
AAGUCCGUAGUUUACAUUAAGGAAGACUCCUGAUGUUGUACACUCUAUGGAUUCUACAAAUGUAUAAUGAGACAAUCAAACUUCAGAUAAUCAUGCAACAAGGUUUCCAGCCAGUUCCAGGUGUAGACACCACUCCCAGCCAUCAAGAAACUACUGUCAAGGCAAGGGUUCUGUGAUCCUCAAUAGGGUAAAUGCUGGAGGGGCUCCAAUUUGGAAGUGUUACAUUAUCAAGUUAAAUCAUAAGAGCAAUUUAUAAAAGAGAUAGCUUGGAAUUAAACUACAAAAGCUGCUUAAGGUAAAAUAUGCGAGGGAACUCUCUUGUUGCCAUUGUGAGACCCUGGAGAACAGAUGGAACCAACUCUCAAGCUUCUGCUCGGGCAGAAAUAAAGAUGUUCUUUGAAACCAACGAGAACAAAGACACAACAUACCAGAAUCUCUGGGACACAUUCAAAGCAGUGUGUAGAGGGAAAUUUAUAGCACUAAAUGCCCACAAGAGAAAGCAGGAAAGAUCCAAAAUUGACACCCUAACAUCACAAUUAAAAGAACUAGAAAAGCAAGAGCAAACACAUUCAAAACCUAGCAGAAGGCAAGAAAUAACUAAAAUCAGAGCAGAACUGAAGGAAAUAGAGACACAAAAAACCCUUCAAAAAAUUAAUGAAUCCAGGAGCUGCUUUUUUGAAAGGAUCAACAAAAUUGAUAGACCGCUAGCAAGACUAAUAAAGAAGAAAAGAGAGAAGAAUCAAAUAGAUGCAAUAAAAAAUGAUAAAGGGGAUAUCACCACCGAUCCCACAGAAAUACAAACUACCAUCAGAGAAUACUACAAACACCUCUACACAAAUAAACUAGAAAAUCUAGAAGAAAUGGAUAAAUUCCUCAACACAUACACCCUCCCAAUACUAAACCAGGAAGAAGUUGAAUCUCUGAAUAGACAAAUAACAGGCUCUGAAAUUGUGGCAAUAAUCAAUAGCUUACCAACCAAAAAGAGUCCAGGACCAGAUGGAUUCACAGCCGAAUUCUACCAGUGGUACAAGGAGAAACUGGUACCAUUCCUUCUGAAACUAUUCCAAUCAAUAGAAAAAGAGGGAAUCCUCCCUAACUCAUUUUAUGAGGCCAGCAUCAUCCUGAUACCAAAGCCGGGCAGAGACACAACCAAAAAAGAGAAUUUUAGACCAAUAUCCUUGAUGAACAUUGAUGCAAAAAUCCUCAAUAAAAUACUGGCAAACUGAAUCCAGCAGCACAUCAAAAAGCUUAUCCACCAUGAUCAAGUGGGCUUCAUCCCUGGGAUGCGAGGCUGGUUCAAUAUAUGCAAAUCAAUAAAUGUAAUCCAGCAUAUAAACAUAACCAAAGACAAAAACCACAUGAUUAUCUCCAUAGAUGCAGAAAAGGCCUUUGACAAAAUUUGGCACUCUUGUUCUUUCAAAUAAAUCUUUUUUCCUACCCUGCUGA